rnacentral:rRNA from 1 species
AUACGUACCGUACAAACGUUAUUCGGAAUCACUGGGCUUAAAGGGUGCGUAGGCGGUGCGGUCAGUUGGGUGUGAAAUCCCUCGGCUCAACCGAGGAACUGCGCCCAAUACUGCCGUACUCGAGGGAGACAGAGGUAAGCGGAACUGAUGGUGGAGCGGUGAAAUGCGUUGAUAUCAUCAGGCACACCGGUAGCGAAGGCGGCUUACUGGGUCUCUACUGACGCUGAGGCACGAAAGCUAGGGUAGCGAACGGGAUUAGAAACCCCAGUAGUCC